rnacentral:sRNA from 1 species
UUCCAGCGUUAGGGAUUGCAGUGGAAAUCCUUUUUGCGAGGGACAAUAAACUUUCCAGGAUCAAAACCACAAAACAUUUAUAUAAAAACCUCGAAUUUUAAGACAAGUUCUGAAAUAUUAAAUUUCGAUUAUCGAGCAAAAAGAUUGUAGCGGAAAGCCCGACCCGCC